rnacentral:rRNA from 1 species
GAUGAACGCUGGCGGCGUGCCUAAUACAUGCAAGUCGAGCGAACAGACGAGGAGCUUGCUCCUCUGACGUUAGCGGCGGACGGGUGAGUAACACGUGGAUAACCUACCUAUAAGAAUGGGAUAACUUCGGGAAACCGGAGCUAAUACAGGAUAAUAUAUUGAACCGCAUGGUUCAAUAGUGAAAGACGGUUUUGCUGUCACUUAUAGAUGGAUCCGCGCCGCAUUAGCUAGUUGGUAAGGUAACGGCUUACCAAGGCAACGAUGCGUAGCCGACCUGAGAGGGCGAUCAGCCACACUGGAACUGAGACACGGCCCAGACUCCUACGGGAGGCAGCAGUAGGGAAUCUUCCGCAAAGGGCGAAAGCCUGAUGGAGCAACGCCGCGUGAGUGAUGAAGGCCUUCGGAUCGUAAAACUCUGUUAUUAGGGAAGAACACCUGUGUAAGUAUCUAUGCACGUCUUGACGGUACCGAAUCAGAAAGCCCCGGCUAACUACGUG